UUUUUUUUCUUUUUACAGCCACACUUGUGGCAUAUGGAGGUUCCCGGGCCAGGGGUUAAUCAGAGUUGCACCCAAGGCUUAUGCAACAGCCACAGUAACACCAGAUCUGAGCCAUAUCUGUGACCUACACCAAGCUUGCAGCAACACCUGAUCUUUAACCCACCGAGCAAGGCCAGGAAUCAAACCCACAUCCUGAUGGACACUAUGUCAGUUCUUAACCUGCUAAGCCAAAACAGGAACUCCCAGAUUCUUGACCCAUAGAAACCACAAUACAAUAAAUGUUGUUUUAGCCACUAAGUUUUGGGAAAUUUGUUAUGCAGCCAUAGACAACAAAUUGAGUCAAUUGAUUUCUCAACCUGCUGAUGAGUAAUGACCUGUAAACUGAAAAACAUUGAUCUAGUUCUAGAUGCAAGUCCUGUGCUGGGCCUCAAAACAGAUUCGAGGAUGAAUAAGACCUGGUCAUUGCCUUCAAAGGGCUUUUAGUGUUUUGGGGGGAAUCUCAAAACUUAGUAGGAUGUGUGUAUUUCUAGGGCAGAGUUCAAAGACAGCAGAAGAAAAUGAGAGCUUUGUCCAGGCUGAGAUGGACCGCUGUGAGAAGCACAGAGAUUGGUUGGGGAGUCCUUACAGGGAGCAUCCAAAGGGAUUUCCACACCCAGAAAGGCUUGGAAGAGAGAGGAGGAUCCUUCUCGCUCAUGCUUUCAAUCAGGGCUUCUGACCUACGAGACUGCAGCCUUGACCUUCAGCCCUGGUCUCUCUCUGGAUCUACUGACCCCUACUUCCAAGACUUGGUUGGACAGCUCCAAAUGGACGUCUCCUUAACAUCCUUCCCAACAUAUCCUAAAUCCUCCUCUUCUUUAUUCCCCGAGACCAGCAAGUCCUCCUGGUACCUUAAUCCUAUCUAGUCCCCAACACUUGUCACCAUUCACAUUCAUUUUUUUUCAGUUCCAUCCCCACAUCAAUUUCCAAGUGCUGCAGAGUCUAUCUCUGAAGUAUCUCUCUCUCUCUCUCUUUUAUUUAUUUAUUUUUUUUAAGGGCCACUCCUGAGGCAUAUGGAAAUUCCCAGGCUAGGGGUCUAAUUGGAGCUACAGCUGCCAGCCUACGUACACCACAGCCACAACAAUGAAGGAUCUGAGCUGCAUCUGUAACCUAUACCACAGCUCACAGCAAUGCCAGAUCCUUAACCCACUGAGCAAGGCCAGGGAUUGAACCUGCAACCUCAUGGUUCCUAGUUGGAUUGGUUUCCUCUGUACCACGUCAGAAACUCCUCCGAAGUAUCUCUUGAAUCUGUCCCUUUUCUGCAUCCUCUAUAACUACCUUAAAGCUGGCCCUUGUCUUCGUAACAAAGACCCCCAAAAGCAUUGUUGCACGGGUCCUUCCAUAGUGUAGUGGUUAUAUGUGCAGGAUACGGAGUUAGGCUACCUGAUUGAGUUCUAAUUCUACCACUUAGCAGCUAUGUGAACUUUGACAAGCUCUUUAAUUUUUUCCACGCCUUGGUUUCCUCAUCUUUAAAAUAGGGUGACUAAUACGUGUGUGUGUGUGUGUGUGUGUGUGUGUGUGUAAAGAAUGAAUAGAGUGCUUGGCAGUAAAAGUGACAUUUUAGGGUAUAAACCACCACUGUGAUUAUUUUGAAUCAUCCCAUGCUCUGUUCCUUCCUCCCAGAGUGUUCCCCAAACACAUCAACGCCAGAUCUGAGCUGUGUCCGUGACCUACACCACAGCUCAUGACAACACUGGAUUUUUAACCCACUGAGUGGGGCCAGGAAUCGAACCUGCAUCCCAUGGAUGCUAGUCAGAUUCAUUUCUGUUGAGCCAGGACACGAACUCCUUACCGUUUAUUUUUAAGGUUACUUUCUAUCUAUGGCAAAUUAUACUAUUUUUCAUGAUCAGUAAUGAUACAAAGUUUCCUUUUAAAAUAAAUAUUUAAAAAACCUAAAGUAUAGUUGAUUUACAAUGUUGUGUUAGUUUCAGGUGCACAGCAAAGAGAUUCUGUUACAUACAUAUGAAUAUGUUAUUAUUUAUUUAUUUAUUUAUUGUCUUUUUGCCAUUUCUUGGGCCGCUCCUGCAGCAUAUGGAGGUUCCCAGGCCAGGGGUCGAAUUGGAGCUGUAGCCACUGGCCUAUGCCAGAGCCACAGCAACGCGGGAUCCGAGCCGCGUCUGCAGCCUACACCACAGCUCACGGCAACGCCGGACUGUUAACCCACUGAGCAAGGGCAGGGACCGAACCCGCAGCCUAAUGGUUCCUAGUCGGAUUCGUUAACCACUGCGCCAGGACGGGAACUCCUACUUUUUAGAUUAUUUUCAAUUACAGGAUAUCCAAUAUAGGAUACUGAAUAUAGUUCCCUGUCCUAUACAGUAGGUCCUUGUCAUUUAUCUGUUUUAUAUAUAGUAGUGUGUAUCUGUUAAUCCCAAACUCCUAAUUUAUCUAUCACUAUCCACCUUUGGUAACCAUAAGUUUUUUUUUUAUGCCUAUGGGUCUGUUUCUAUUUUGUAAAUAAGUUCAUUUGUAUCAUUUUUUUGGAUUCCACAUAUAAGUGAUAUCAUAUGAUGACAAUAUCUGACUUACUUCACUCAAUAUGAGAAACUCUAGGUCCAUCCAUGUUUCUGCAAGUGUCAUAUUUCAUUCUUUCUUUCUGGCUGAGUAAUAUUCCAUUGUAUAUAUGUACCACAUCUCCUUUAUCAAUUCAUAUGUCAAUGGGCACAUAUGUUGCUUCCAUGUCUUGGCUACAAAAUAAUCAUUUUAAGUUAAAAACUGAGUCAAAUUAAAGAAAAGGUAAGUAAACUCUCUCUCCCAGAAAAAGAAAGUCACGGAGUGUGUGAUUUUUACACUGUAAAUUUUCUCAUCAUGCCUAUUUCCAAAAACCUACAUGAUGCCACUGAAGGCAGAGUUAGGAAAAGAUGUGCAGGAUACAAUCCAUGUGUCCAUACAAAUGACUCAAGCUCACCACUCGGUGGGGCUCAGAUAUAGCAAAUAUCUGGAAGGUGGUCCAACAAUGGCUGAAGUCUGAGAAAAGCUUUAUUAUGGUCACUUUUUAUAUAACUCUUAUUCUCCACAGCAAAAUGCAUGUGUCUUGAGAGUAAUGACUGCUUCUUGAUCAUCUCUGAAAACCGUGCAGUACCUGGAGGGGAGCUCACAGUGGGUACCUCUCACCAGGCUGAACUUUCUGGAAGAGGGACUGAGGUGAAUCACUUUUCUGUUCAGGAUGACAGUGACAUGGAGUGACCUGGAGCCCCUGGCUAUUGGUAACCUAGUUCUAGGCAGAGGUGUGGCCCCAGGGAGGACUGAGGGAGGAAAAGGAUGAUGCAUGGGGUCUGGCUCACCCAUGCCACCGAGACUCUACUCAAAUGUACUCUUCCCUCAAAGGGUGUAUGAUAAGGAGCACGAUGAGGAGAACAGAAUGGAAAAGGCGAGACUGAAGGCCUUGGAUUAGUUUUGUAAUAGAGCACCAUACACUGGGUGGCUUGGCCACAGAAGUUCACUGCCUUACUGUUCUGGAGACUAGAAGUCUGAAACCACAUGUCAGCAGGGUUGACAAAUCAAGGGGACAGCUGUGAGGGAAGGAUCUGUUCAAGGUCUCCAUCCUUGGCAUGUGGAGGGCCCCUUCUCCCUGUGUCCCUUCACAGUCUUCCCUUUAUAUGCGUCUGUAUGUGUCCAGAUUUUCUCUUUCUACAAGAAUAUCAGUCAUAGUGGGUGAGGAUCUACCCUUUGGCCUCAUGUUAAUUUGAUUACCUCUGCAAAGACCCUAUCUCAAAAUAAGUACAAUCUGAGGCACUAGGGAGUUAAGAUUCCAGUACAUCUUUUGGGUAAGACACAAUUCAAACCACACCAGGCCUGGAGAUUGAUUCUAAUAAUUCUCUGAUGGGACGUGCUCCCAUAAGGGCUCUGUCAUAGG
rnacentral:lncRNA from 1 species